GAUGAACGCUGGCGGCGUGCCUAACACAUGCAAGUCGAACGUGAGGGGGUAGCAAUAUCCUUGAAAGUGGCGCACGGGUGAGUAAAACGUAGGUAACCUGCCCUGGAGUGGGGGAUAACAGCUAGAAAUGGCUGCUAAUACCGCAUAAUACUGGAAUGUCGGGAGGCAAUCCAGUAAAAACUCUGGUGCUUCAGGAGGGGCCUGCGGCCGAUUAGGUAGUUGGUGGGGUAAUGGCCUACCAAGCCGACGAUCCAUAGCUGGUUUGAGAGGAUGAUCAGCCACACUGGGACUGAGACACGGCCCAGACUCCUACGGGAGGCAGCAGUGGGGAAUCUUAGACAAUGGGCGCAAGCCUGAUCUAGCCAUGCCGCGUGAGCGAUGAAGGCCUUAGGGUUGUAAAGCUCUUUCAGUGGGAAGAUAAUGACUGUACCCACAGAAGAAGCCCCGGCUAACUCCGUGCCAGCAGCCGCGGUAAU
rnacentral:rRNA from 1 species